GGCGGUUUUCCCUCUGCCUGUACCCUGAGAGGCUGGAGAGACGAGGGAGGGAAGGUGUUUUUAGACUGAGGGGAAGAAAGGAUCGACGUGGGGCUAGAGUAUGGCAGCUCCGAAAUCUCUGGAAAACAGAUUUGUGAGGCGUGGCUGAUGUGACCCUGUGGGGACAAGGCCCCAGAACGGGUGUCCACCUAACCUAAUUAGGCGAGAACAGAGGGUGUGAAGGACACGGGUAGGCCGACGGGACUUCAGUCCACUAACCAGAAGUUGUAUAGCUUAAGCAACAUGAGAAAAGAUAUGAACCUCACCUGUGCCAUUUUACAUGGUUAAAGCGUGAGCUUUAUGCCAGGGAGCGAGGAAGGGAAGAAAUCUGAUCCCUCCUCCGGUGGGAGGAGAUGGGAAGCCAGCCCGGAAGACCACGCUCACCUGCGUGUGGUCUCAAACAAUCUUGGGAAUAAUAUGCCAUUGUAUAUAUGUCCACCUUAAAUAGACACAAGUUUUAUUUGGGCAGAAAAAAUCUUGGGAAACUUUCCUCCUCCAGCCUUGUGGAUGAGAACCUGACCUAAUGAGUUGUCUGUAUUUCCAUUUUGCCCCAGAAGAUAGCGGUCAAGAGGUAGCACAGGAGAAAUAAAAUCAUUACAAACAGGUGUUGAAAUUUGUACUGCUUGCAAAGAAAGAAGCUAUGUUUUCAACAUUCAAAUAUUGUGCAAUAGAUUAUUUAUAUGAGAAUGUAAUUAGGAAGAAGUUUUCUAGAGAUGCUUUCUUGCUUCGAAUCCCUUCAUGUUUAUAUCAAGAUGGAGAUUAUCUUACAGGAGUUAUUGAUAGUGCAUUUAGGAGGCCAUGGACAAGAG